AACAGGGAUUACCUCAGUAACGGCGAGUGAAGCGGUAACAGCUCAAAUUUGAAAUCUGGCAGCAAUGUCCGAGUUGUAAUUUGUAGAGGAUGUUUCGAGCAUGGUCUGGCCUAAGUUCCUUGGAACAGGACGUCAUAGAGGGUGAGAAUCCCGUAUGCGGUCAGGUGCCUACGCUCAUGUGAAACUCCUUCGACGAGUCGAGUUGUUUGGGAAUGCAGCUCAAAAUGGGUGGUAAAUUUCAUCUAAAGCUAAAUAUUGGCCAGAGACCGAUAGCGCACAAGUAGAGUGAUCGAAAGAUGAAAAGCACUUUGGAAAGAGAGUUAAACAGUACGUGAAAUUGUUGAAAGGGAAGCGCUUGCAACCAGACUUGCACGCAGUUAAUCAUCCGCUGUUCUCAGUGGUGCACUUGAUUGCGUUCAGGCCAGCAUCGGUUUUGGUGGUGGGAUAAAGGCCUUAGGAAUGUAGCUGCUUUCGGGCAGUGUUAUAGCCUAGGGUGCAAUGCCGCCUACUGGGACCGAGGACCGCGCUUCGGCUAGGAUGCUGGCGUAAUGGUUGUAAGCGACCCGUCUUGAAACACGGACCAAGGAGUCUAACAUCUAUGCGAGUGUUUGGGUGUCAAACCCAUACGCGUAAUGAAAGUGAACGGAGGUCAGAACCCUUAAGGGUGCAUGAUCGACCGGUCCUGAAGUCUUCGGAUGGAUCUGAGUAAGAGCAUAGCUGUUGGGACCCGAAAGAUGGUGAACUAUGCCUGAAUAGGGUGAAGCCAGAGGAAACU
rnacentral:rRNA from 1 species